rnacentral:rRNA from 1 species
CGCUGGCGGUAUGCUUAACACAUGCAAGUCGAACGAACAAGUCUAGCUUGCUAGAUGAGUUAGUGGCAAACGGGUGAGUAACACGUGGGAAUCUACCCAGUAGUACGGAAUAACAGUUGGAAACGACUGCUAAUACCGUAUAGUAUCGAGAGAUUAAAGAUUUAUCGCUACUGGAUGAGCCCGCGUCAGAUUAGGUAGUUGGUGGGGUAAAGGCCUACCAAGCCCGAGAUCUGUAGCUGGUCUGAGAGGAUGAUCAGCCACACUGGAACUGAGACACGGUCCAGACUCCUACGGGAGGCAGCAGUGAGGAAUAUUGGACAAUGGGCGAAAGCCUGAUCCAGCAAUACCGCGUGAGUGAAGAAGGCCUUAGGGUUGUAAAGCUCUUUCAGCAGGGAAAAUAAUGAUGGUACCUGCAAAAGAAGUCCCGGCUAACUCCGUGCCAGCAGCCGCGGUAAUACGGAGGGGACUAGCGUUGUUCGGAUUUACUGGGCGUAAAGAGCGCGUAGGCGGGUUAUUAAGUUAGAAGUGAAAGCCCAGGGCUCAACCCUGGAACUGCUUCUAAAACUGGUAACCUAGAGUAUGGGAGGGGACAGUGGAAUUCCUAGUGUAGAGGUGAAAUUCUUAGAUAUUAGGAGGAACACCGGUGGCGAAAGCGACUGUCUGGAACAUUACUGACGCUGAGGUGCGAAAGCGUGGGGAGC